GCCGUUCAAGCGGCCGGGGCGAGCACCGCUCUCCUAAAGCGGGUGUCGCAGGUUCGAAUCCUGCCGGGGGCA
rnacentral:tRNA from 1 species